GACGUAGGGGACGAGCGUUGUCCGGAUUCAUUGGGCGUAAAGAGCGUGUAGGCGGCCAGGUAGGUCGGUUGUGAAAACUGGAGGCUCAACCUUCAGAGGUCGAUCGAAACCAUCUGGCUAGAGUCCGGGAGAGGAGAGUGGAAUUCCUGGUGUAGCGGUGAAAUGCGCAGAUAUCAGGAGGAACACCCAUUGCGAAGGCAGCUCGCUGGGACGUUACUGACGCUGAGACGCGAAAGCGUGGGGAGCAAACAGG
rnacentral:rRNA from 1 species